rnacentral:sRNA from 1 species
ACAUCGAACAUGUUACAAUCACUACUGGA